AGUGGCGGACGGGUGAGUAACGCGUAGGAAUCUAACUUCAGGACGGGGACAACAGUUGGAAACGACUGCUAAUACCCGAUGUGCCGCAAGGUGAAACCUAAUUGGCCUGGAGAAGAGCUUGCGUCUGAUUAGCUAGUUGGUGGGGUAAAGACCUACCAAGGCGACGAUCAGUAGCUGGUCUGAGAGGAUGAGCAGCCACACUGGGACUGAGACACGGCCCAGACUCCUACGGGAGGCAGCAGUGGGGAAUUUUCCGCAAUGGGCGAAAGCCUGACGGAGCAACGCCGCGUGAGGGAGGAAGGUCUUUGGAUUGUAAACCUCUUUUCUCAAGGAAGAAGUUCUGACGGUACUUGAGGAAUCAGCCUCGGCUAACUCCGUGCCAGCAGCCGCGGUAAUACGGGGGAGGCAAGCGUUAUCCGGAAUUAUUGGGCGUAAAGCGUCCGCAGGUGGUCAGCCAAGUCUGCCGUCAAAUCAGGUUGCUUAACGACCUAAAGGCGGUGGAAACUGGCAGACUAGAGAGCAGUAGGGGUAGCAGGAAUUCCCAGUGCAGCGGUGAAAUGCGUAGAGAUUGGGAAGAACAUCGGUGGCGAAAGCGUGCUACUGGGCUGUAUCUGACACUCAGGGACGAAAGCUAGGGGAGCGAAAGGGAUUAGAUACCCCUGUAGUCCUAGCCGUAAACGAUGGAUACUAGGCGUGGCUU
rnacentral:rRNA from 1 species